rnacentral:tRNA from 1 species
GAAGUGGCGGAACUGGCAGACGCGCAAGCCUCAGGAGCUUGUGGGCCUUAGGCCCGUGGGGGUUCAAAUCCCCCCUUCA